AAAGGGAGACCUAAUUCGGGUAGGAGACGAAAAAAAAGUAGUCGCUACCAAGAAUCAAUCCCAAAAGGUCGGAGCGAGGCGAAAUUGGCUUUCAAACUAGGUUCUGGGUUCAAACAAGACCUGAAUCAGGAACAAGGGCUAUUAGCUCAGGUGGUUAGAGCGCACCCCUGAUAAGGGUGAGGUCCCUGGUUCGAGUCCAGGAUGGCCCACCUGCACAGGUGGCAAAAACAAGAGAAGCGAGGAAUCAGCACCUUAUCUUACUUAUAUAGUAAGAGAGAAUGCUGGCUCUGAGUAAAGAGUCCAGAGGAACCUUGAAAACUGCAUAGAGCUAGGUGAAAAAGCCAAAAAAGAAGACCGCAAG
rnacentral:tRNA from 1 species